GGACCCGUAGCCUAGCCUGGAAGAUUAUGGGUAAAUAGGGCGACAGCCUUCUAAGCUGUAGAUCGGGAGUUCGAAGUAAAUAUCUUAUACGAAGAUCGCCAAAUGGGGUGUUCUUUCAGAAACCCCCACGAGCGGAAAAUGAGAUGUUUUACGAAAGUCUCCCCGGGUCCG
rnacentral:tRNA from 1 species